ACAGAGAAAAUACUCAUGAGAAUUGAGUUGGGUCUUGACCACUUUUUUUCAACACACAAAACACAAGUUGAAAAGGUAGGAUGCCCACGUACAAGUGGACGCCCUGUGUGUUUGCGCUGAGAGCUUCACUUCUCCCUUCUACUGCUUCCUGCUGCAGGGACUGGCAUGUCUAAGCUCCUCCCACUGUUCUCUGCUUUCCAGAAAGGUGUUCGGGAUUGCUGUGAUCUGACUUUGGACCCUGCUGCGACAUGUGUGAUGUGGCUGCUUGUUCGCAUGACCUAUUUUCUCUCAUUCUUGGAGCUCAAACCUGGCACUUGAGGGCAUUCUCCUAAGAAAGUGGCUACUGGGAAAACUGAAGUUUGGACCCUGAACCUUGCUUGGUGGAAUGGGAAGACAAUCAAUAUUAAGAUUGUGGGCAGAAGUAGAAACAGUUCAAAAUAUAGACCAACAGGAUAUAAAGAGUUUUACUUGUCUCUCAUUGAUGAGGUCUCUUUUCUUUAUCUUCUGCUUCAAUCUGAAACUCUGAUUGUAAUAAUAUUUGGUAGCUUUUCCAAUU